UAUCUCUCCGUACGGGGAAGAAUGAGAAGCUUCGACUAAGGUUCGAUUCGAGCGCAGCGAGAAAGCGUUGCCGUAGGCAACGACCCGAAGGGCGAAGCGCGCAGCGCUGAGUAAUCCUUCCCCCACCACCA
rnacentral:sRNA from 1 species